rnacentral:rRNA from 1 species
GACAGAGGCCCCAAGCGUUAGGCGGAAUCACUGGGCUUAAAGCGUGUGUAGGCGGAUCGUUAAGUGUCUUGUGAAAUCCCCCGGCUCACCCGGGGAACUGCUGGGCAUACUGGGCGUCUUGGGCCAACUAGGGGCAGCCGGAACAAGCGGUGGAGCGGUGAAAUGCGUAGAUAUCGCUUGGAACGCCGAAGGUGAAAACAGGCUGCUGGGGUUGCGCCGACGCUGAGACACGAAAGCCAGGGGAGCAAACGGG